rnacentral:tRNA from 1 species
GGCUAUAGCUCAGUAGCAGAGCGCUCGCCUAGCAUGCAUGAGGCACUGGGUUCGAUUCUCAGCACCA